rnacentral:rRNA from 1 species
GCGACAGGCUUAACACAUGCAAGUCGAGGGGCAGCGGUGGUGAAGGCUUGCCUUUACCAGCCGGCGACCGGCGCACGGGUGAGUAACACGUAUGCAACCUGCCUGCCACAGCCGGAUAAUCGGGAGAAAUUCCGUCUAAUACGGCAUAAUGCACCUAUGGGACAUCCUGUUGGUGCCAAAGGUUGAUUCCGGUGGCGGAUGGGCAUGCGUCGCAUUAGUUAGUUGGCGGUGUAACGGACCACCAAGACGACGAUGCGUAGGGGUUCUGAGAGGAAGGUCCCCCACACUGGUACUGAGACACGGACCAGACUCCUACGGGAGGCAGCAGUGAGGAAUAUUGGUCAAUGGGCGGGAGCCUGAACCAGCCAAGUCGCGUGAGGGAUGACGGCCCUAUGGGUUGUAAACCUCUUUUGCCGGGGAGCAAAGUGCCGCACGUGUGCGGUUUGGAGAGUACCCGGAGAAAAAGCAUCGGCUAACUCCGUGCCAGCAGCCGCGGUAAUACGGAGGAUGCGAGCGUUAUCCGGAUUUAUUGGGUUUAAAGGGUGCGUAGGCGGACGCUUAAGUCAGCGGUAAAAUUGCGGGGCUCAACCUCGUCGAGCCGUUGAAACUGGGUGCCUUGAGUGGGCGAGAAGUACGCGGAAUGCGUGGUGUAGCGGUGAAAUGCAUAGAUAUCACGCAGAACUCCGAUUGCGAAGGCAGCGUACCGGCGCCCAACUGACGCUGAAGCACGAAGGCGUGGGUAUCGAACAGGAUUAGAUACCCUGGUAGUCCACGCAGUAAACGAUGAAUGCUAGUUGUCCGGGGCGAUUGAGUUCUGGGUGACACAGCGAAAGCGUUAAGCAUUCCACCUGGGGAGUACGCCGGCAACGGUGAAACUCAAAGGAAUUGACGGGGGCCCGCACAAGCGGAGGAACAUGUGGUUUAAUUCGAUGAUACGCGAGGAACCUUACCCGGGCUCAAACGCAGGAGGGAUGUUUUUGAAAGGAGGCAGCCAGCAAUGGUCUCCUGCGAGGUGCUGCAUGGUUGUCGUCAGCUCGUGCCGUGAGGUGUCGGCUUAAGUGCCAUAACGAGCGCAACCCCUACCUACAGUUGCCAUCGCGUGAUGGCGGGCACUCUGUGGGGACUGCCUGCGCAAGCAGUGAGGAAGGCGGGGAUGACGUCAAAUCAGCACGGCCCUUACGUCCGGGGCGACACACGUGUUACAAUGGCAGGUACAGCGGGAAGCCACCCGGCGACGGGGCGCGGAACCCGAAAACCUGUCUCAGUUCGGAUUGGAGUCUGCAACCCGACUCCAUGAAGCUGGAUUCGCUAGUAAUCGCGCAUCAGCCACGGCGCGGUGAAUACGUUCCCGGGCCUUGUACACACCGCCCGUCA